rnacentral:rRNA from 1 species
AUGCUUAACACAUGCAAGUCGAACGAGAACGUUGCCUUCGGGCAGCUAGUAAAGUGGCGCACGGGUGAGUAACGCGUGGGUAAUCUGCCUUCGAGACUGGGACAACCCCGGGAAACUGGAGCUAAUACCAGAUAAGACCACGAGGUCCUCGGGCCAUGUGGGAAAAGGGUGGCCUCUCCUUGGAAGCUACCGCUCGGAGAUGAGCCCGCGUCGCAUUAGCUAGUUGGUGAGGUAACGGCUCACCAAGGCUACGGUGCGUAGCUGGUCUGAGAGGACGAUCAGCCACACUGGAACUGAGACACGGUCCAGACUCCUACGGGAGGCAGCAGUCGGGAAUAUUGGUCAAUGGGGGAAACCCUGAACCAGCAACUCCGCGUGAGGGAUGAAGGCCUUCGGGUCGUAAACCUCUGUCAGAAGGGAAGAAAAUGGCCGAGUCGAAUAGGCUCGGUUACUGACGGUACCUUCAAAGGAAGCACCGGCUAACUCCGUGCCAGCAGCCGCGGUAAUACGGAGGGUGCAAGCGUUGUUCGGAAUUAUUGGGCGUAAAGCGGGUGUAGGCGGCUUUGCAAGUCGGGUGUGAAAUCCCUGGGCUCAACCCAGGAACUGCAUUCGAUACUGCAUCGCUAGAGUCCCGGAGAGGAUGGCGGAAUUCCAGGUGUAGAGGUGAAAUUCGUAGAUAUCUGAAGGAACACCAGUGG